rnacentral:rRNA from 1 species
UAGGGAAUCUUCCACAAUGGACGCAAGUCUGAUGGAGCAACGCCGCGUGAGUGAAGAAGGUUUUCGGACCGUAAAGCUCUGUUGUUGGUGAAGAAGGAUAGAGGUAGUAACUGGCCUUUAUUUGACGGUAAUCAACCAGAAAGUCACGGCUAACUACGUGCCAGCAGCCGCGGUAAUCGUAGGUGGCAAGCGUUGUCCGGAUUUAUUGGGCGUAAAGCGAGCGCAGGCGGAAGAAUAAGUCUGAUGUGAAAGCCUUCGGCUUAACCGAGGAAUUGCAUCGGAAACUGUUUUCUUGAGUGCAGAAGAGGAGAGUAGAACUCCAUGUGUAGCGGUGGAAUGCGUAGAUAUAUGGAAGAAUACCAGUGGCGAAGGCGGCUCUCUGGUCUGCAACUGACGCUGAGGCUCGAAAGCAUGGGUAGCGAACAGGAUUAGAUACCCUGGUAGUCCAUGCCGUAAACGAUGAGUGCUAAGUGUUGGGAGGCUUCCGCCUCUCAGUGCUGCAGCUAACGCAUUAAGCACUCCGCCUGGGGAGUACGACCGCAAGGUUGAAAC